rnacentral:misc_RNA from 1 species
GGAAGCCGGAUACAGCGACGAGUUGUAAGUCCGGUUUCGGGGCGAGUCCUCGGAAAUCUACUACAGUAAUGUAGUAAGGCGCUGGGGGCUUAGCCUAC